rnacentral:rRNA from 1 species
UACGGAGGGGGCUAGCGUUGUUCGGAAUUACUGGGCGUAAAGCGCACGUAGGCGGCUUUGUAAGUUAGAGGUGAAAGCCCGGGGCUCAACUCCGGAAUUGCCUUUAAGACUGCAUCGCUAGAAUUGUGGAGAGGUGAGUGGAAUUCCGAGUGUAGAGGUGAAAUUCGUAGAUAUUCGGAAGAACACCAGUGGCGAAGGCGGCUCACUGGACUGGUAUUGACGCUGAGGUGCGAAAGCGUGGGGAGCAAACAGG